rnacentral:rRNA from 1 species
UGGGGAAUAUUGCACAAUGGGGGAAACCCUGAUGCAGCGACGCCGCGUGGAGGAAGAAGGUCUUCGGAUUGUAAACUCCUGUUGUUGGGGAAGAUAAUGACGGUACCCAACAAGGAAGUGACGGCUAACUACGUGCCAGCAGCCGCGGUAAAACGUAGGUCACAAGCGUUGUCCGGAAUUACUGGGUGUAAAGGGAGCGCAGGCGGGAAGACAAGUUGGAAGUGAAAUCUAUGGGCUCAACCCAUAAACUGCUUUCAAAACUGUUUUUCUUGAGUAGUGCAGAGGUAGGCGGAAUUCCCGGUGUAGCGGUGGAAUGCGUAGAUAUCGGGAGGAACACCAGUGGCGAAGGCGGCCUACUGGGCACCAACUGACGCUGAGGCUCGAAAGUGUGGGUAGCAAACAGGAUUAGAUACCCUGGUAGUCCACACCGUAAACGAUGAUUACUAGGUGUUGGAGGAUUGACCCCUUCAGUGCCGCAGUUAACACAAUAAGUAAUCCACCUGGGGAGUACGACCGCAAGGUUGAAACUCAAAGGAAUUGACGGGGGCCCGCACAAGCAGUGGAGUAUGUGGUUUAAUUCGACGCAACGCGAAGAACCUUACCAAGUCUUGACAUCCCUUGACAGACAUAGAAAUAUGUUUUCUCUUCGGAGCAAGGAGACAGGUGGUGCAUGGUUGUCGUCAGCUCGUGUCGUGAGAUGUUGGGUUAAGUCCCGCAACGAGCGCAACCCUUAUGGUCAGUUACUACGCAAGAGGACUCUGGCCAGACUGCCGUUGACAAAACGGAGGAAGGUGGGGAUGACGUCAAAUCAUCAUGCCCUUUAUGACUUGGGCUACACACGUACUACAAUGGCGUUAAACAAAGAGAAGCAAGACCGCGAGGUGGAGCAAAACUCAGAAACAACGUCCCAGUUCGGACUGCAGGCUGCAACUCGCCUGCACGAAGUCGGAAUUGCUAGUAAUCGUGGAUCAGCAUGCCACGGUGAAUACGUUCCC